CCUACGGGAGGCAGCAGUGGGGGAUAUUGCACAAUGGGGGAAACCCUGAUGCAGCGACGCCGCGUGAGUGAAGAAGUAUUUCGGUAUGUAAAGCUCUAUCAGCAGGGAAGAAAAAGAUGGUAGUACCGUAAUAAGAAGCGGCGAAUGACGAUAUAGCAGCCGCGGCAAUACGGAGGGGGGAAGGGUUAUCAGGAUUUAUUGGGUGGAAAGGGAGCGUAGACGGCAGUGAUAGUAUGGAGUGAAAGGCGGGGGGGCAACCCCCGGACUGCUCUGGUAACUGUGCGGCUGGAGUGCAGGAGAGGUAGGUGGAAUUCCGAGUGUAGCGGUGAAAUGCGUAGAUAUUAGGAGGAACACCAGUGGCGAAGGCGGCUUGCUGGACUGUAACUGACGUUGAGGCUCGAAAGCGUGGGGAGCAAACAGGAUUAGAUACCCGGGUAGUC
rnacentral:rRNA from 1 species